ACACCGUCACCAUUAACAAACGGUGGCAAAGUAAGAUUUGUCUAGUGGAGGCUUCUACCGUUUAUCGCCGCCUUAUAAUCAGAAGCUGCAUUGCGUCUCUUUUUUCUUCUUUCUAUUCACGUAAACCGCAGUUAUCUCUCUGUUUCUUUUGACGGAACACACAAGAGCAGCAGAACAAGGGGGAAAAAAAAUCUAGUACAAAAAAAAAAUGGAGGUUGUUGACGAUGGUGAUAAUAUGAUGGAAAUGAUCCGCACCAUCGCCUCUGCUGCUUCUCACUUCCUCGAUACUAUUCCUACAAGAAACAAAACCCAUCAAGCAAAUGAGCUGAAGUAUGGGAGAUUCUCUCCGCACAGCCUUGUCAAUGGAGAAUCAUCACCCAUCCACGCUUUUGUCAAUGGAUUCCAGUGCCUCCUCUCACGAAGAAUUGGAUUUGGAGAUGAAUUGUCAAAUCAUACUUUCCCGUCCACCUGAUAUCAAUUUACCCCUGUCUGCCGAGCGUAGUCCUCCACCACAGUCAUGGAAUUCAGAACCAUGUGAUAUAUUAGAUGUUGGACUUGGUCAGAAGGUUUAUGAGACUGAGAGUUUCCUUAAUGUCCCCAAGGUUGGAAGGAAAUGCGCCAAACGGGUUGAUAGUAUUUGGGGUGCUUGGUUUUUCUUUAGUUUCUACUUUAAACCUGUUUUGAAUGAGAAAUCAAAGGCCAAGAUUACCUGGGACAGCAAUGGAGUUUCUGGAUUCGACAAAUCGGAUCUCAAACUUGACGUUUUCAUGGUUCAGCAUGACAUGGAGAACAUGUACAUGUGGAUUUUCAAGGAGGCCUGAGAAUGCAUUGCAAGAUGCAGCUGAGGAGCUACAUGAAUGGACAUUCUCGUCAAGGAGCGUCCUUUCCAUUUAGUGUGGAUAAGGGUUUUGUCCGAUCACACAGAAUGCAGCGGAAGCAUUAUAGGGACUGUCAAAUCCUCAGUGUGUGCAUGGAAUUGAAGUUGUUCCCUCACCCAAUCUCAUGGGUUUUGAUGAGGAUGAUAAGAAAAGAUGGAUGGAACUCACAGGCAGGGAUUUGAACUUCACAAUCUUACCUGAAGCCAGUAAUUUCAGUUCUUGGAGAAACCUUCCGAACACAGAUUUCGAGCUUGAGAGGCCACCUCCUCCUAUAAAGAGUGCCUCUAAUUCUCACUCAAACAAGCUGCUCAAUGGGUCUGGGCUCAAUUUGUCAACUCAGCCAUCCAGCCAUAGCAACGGUGAUGGGACAGACAUAUCACCUGUCAGCAGCAAAAGAAGGAAGGACUUUUUCCCACAUGGAAGUGAUGAUGAUUGUUAUUUGGCUGUUAGUCCUCCUUCUGAUCGGAUGGCAGAUAUAGAACUUCACCCAAAUGAGCAGCCACAAUGGUUGCAUGAUUUUAGUGGGGUUAUGAAGAACGCUUAUGGGCCAGUGACUGCUGCAAAAACAAUCUAUGAGGAUGAAGAAGGUUACUUGAUUAUUAUCAGUUUGCCUUUCGUGGAUCUGCAGAGGGUGAAGGUCUCUUGGAGAAAUACACUUACUCAUGGUAUAAUUAAGGUAUCUGGUGUGAGCUUAUCUCGCAUGCCAUUCGUCAAGAGACAUGAUAGGACAUUCCAACUUGCAGAUCCAGCUUCUGAGCAUUGCCCACCCGGGGAGUUUGUUAGAGAAAUCCCACUUUCAACUAGAAUUCCUGAGGAUGCUAACAUAAAAGCAUAUUAUGAUGGGCCAGGAUCUGUGCUAGAGAUUCUAGUGCCUAAACUUCGCGAGGGACCAGAAGAGCAUGAGGUUCCUGUUUGCCUUCGUCCUCACCUCGGAGGCAAUGAUCUCAUGUUAACUUGAGGUAGGCAUUGGGCGGUUGCAGUAUUUGGUACUCUAUUGUUUCACUAGGCAUGUACCAUAAAGUGUAAUUGAUGAAACAAAAUGUGCAGCUCAGCUUUGUCUUUUGCAAUUUUUGGCGUCUAAUUGUUAUGGCUUUAUUUUAUUUUAUUUUAUUUAUUUAAUGCAUAUGGUUAGCAUUCUACUGUAACUUGUGUUAGAUUCUUGAAAUUAUAUUUGGUUUAACAUUUAUAUAAAUUAUUAUAUCAUGAA